rnacentral:lncRNA from 1 species
GGAGACAUUAGGGCAAUAACUUUAAGAGUGUGACAUUGAUUCUCCUCUGCCUAAGAUGAAUAUAUGGUCAUUCCUUGAAGCAGGAAGAUGAAUCAGUUCUCAGGUGACCCAUGAAUAGUUAAUCCCUUGCUGCCAGAGGGAUGCUAACACCGCCCACGUGCUGCAGCAGGACUUUGGAAGGGGAACCAGCACUGUAAUGAAGUGUUGGGUUGGCUCAAGUCUUGUCUGGACCACAAACCAUUUUUCAACCACUAGUGUGCCUUUAAAACCCAAACCAACUGUGAGAGUGGUUUUCUACUUUGAUUCUAGAUGGGAAAAUAUUUUGCUUUUUUGGUGGAUGACAGUGUCAGGUCCCAAAUGGAUUUGGUUUCAUCCUCCAGCACGCAUGCAUAUAACGUGAAACAUGCCCACACUCUGCAAGGGCCACAGCCACCCCACCAUUAUGUUCCAAGGCAAAUAUGCGUCCGCGGGUCCCCGGGAAAGUAAAGGAGUUUCACAUUGAGGAGCCGAGCCACACAGUCUAGCAGUUCUGAUGUCUCUCCAAGGCCCACAGAUCCUGGUCUACUAACUUAAGGCCCCUUUUGUCUAAAAUAGUGAUGUACAUUAAAUGCAAAGGGCAAAUGGAACCAUUGAAAAGUACUUUUUGCAUCCAAAACAGCCAACGCUUUGGUGCCUGCUAUGUGUCAGACACUGAUUCUUCUGUCAUCCUUAUUCUACUGAUGAGGCAACUGAGGCAGCUUCAGAGAGUUCGAGUAACCUGCGGAUCACACAACUAGGAAGUAAGAGAGCUGGAACUUGACGUUGGGCUGUUGACCUCCAGAAAUGGUGUUUUUUCCAGUACUCAGUGCUGCCUCUGACUCCAUUGUGAUGGUUGAUUUUAUGUGUCAACUUGACUGGGCCCAGGGGUACCCAGAUAUUUGGUCAAACAUUAUUCUGGGUGUUUCUGUGAGGGCGUUUUGGGUGAGAUUAACAUUUAAAUUGGUAGACUGAGUAAAGCAGAUGGCCCUCUAUGAUAUGGCCAGGCCUCAUCCAAUCCAUUGAAAGCCUGAAUGGAACAAAAAGGCCAACCCUCCCUCAGUAGGAGGAAAUUUCGUCUGCUUGACUGCAUUCAAACUAGGACGUCAACUUUUUCCUGCCUUUGGACUUGAAUAGAAACAUCAGCUCUUCCUAGAUCUUCAACCUGCCAGGCUUCAGAUUGAAGUUUAUACCAUCAGCUCUCUUGGUUCUUGGGCCUUUGGACCCAGACUGUAAGUGCACCAUCCGUUCUCUUGGGUCUUGCUUGCUGACUCACCCUGCAGAUUUGGGGACUUAUCAGCCUCUAAUUCUGUGAGCCAAUUCCUUCUAAUAUAUCUCUCUAUACGCAUCCUGUCUCACUGGAAGAACCCUGAUACGGUUAGGCUUUGUGUCCUCAUUCAAAUCUCAUCUUGAAUUGUAAAUCCCAUAAUCCCCAUAAUCCCCAUGUGUCAGGGGAGGGAUCAGGUGGAGGUAAUUGCAUCAUGGGAGCAGUUUCCCCUGUGCUCUUCUCACGAUAGUGAAAGAGUUCUCACAAGAUCUGAUGGUUUUAUAAGGGGCUCUUCCCCCUUUGCUCUGCACUUCCCCUUCCUGCUGCCUUGUGGCCUUGUGAAGAAGGUGUCUUGCUUCCCCUUUGCCCUCCUCCAUGAUUGUAAGUUUCCUGAGGCCUCCCCAGUCAUGCAGAACUGUGAGUCAAUUAAACCUCUGUCCUUUAUAAAUUACCCAGUCUCAGGCGGUUCUUUAUACCAGUGUGAGAAUGGACUAAUACAAACCCUAAUACAUCAAUUUCUUUUUUGAUCUACCAGGCAAUCCUGUGAAGUAGAUGGGUCAGGUAAUAUCAUUGCUAUUUGACAGAUGAGGGAGAACAAGACCUAGCAAAUGAACACGCAUGUGUUACAUGCUCACAUAGUCACACACAUGCUCGCAUGCGUGCGCGUGCACACACACACACACACACAUAUACAUACAGACCACGCACUUCAGGACGAAGGUCAGAAUCCAGGUCUAAUCAUUUAAGUAAGUGCUUCUUCCCCAGGGUGU